rnacentral:rRNA from 1 species
GAUGAACGCCGGCGGUGUGCCUAAUACAUGCAAGUCGUACGCACUGGCCCAACUGAUUGAUGGUGCUUGCACCUGAUUGACGAUGGAUCACCAGUGAGUGGCGGACGGGUGAGUAACACGUAGGUAACCUGCCCUGGAGCGGGGGAUAACAUUUGGAAACAGAUGCUAAUACCGCAUAACAACAAAAGCCACAUGGCUUUUGUUUGAAAGAUGGCUUUGGCUAUCACUCUGGGAUGGACCUGCGGUGCAUUAGCUAGUUGGUAAGGUAACGGCUUACCAAGGCGAUGAUGCAUAGCCGAGUUGAGAGACUGAUCGGCCACAAUGGAACUGAGACACGGUCCAUACUCCUACGGGAGGCAGCAGUAGGGAAUCUUCCACAAUGGGCGCAAGCCUGAUGGAGCAACACCGCGUGAGUGAAGAAGGGUUUCGACUCGUAAAGCUCUGUUGUUGGAGAAGAACGUGCGUGAGAGUAACUGUUCACGCAGUGACGGUAUCCAACCAGAAAGUCACGGCUAACUACGUGCCAGCAGCCGCGGUAAUACGUAGGUGGCAAGCGUUAUCCGGAUUUAUUGGGCGUAAAGCGAGCGCAGGCGGUUGCUUAGGUCUGAUGUGAAAGCCUUCGGCUUAACCGAAGAAGUGCAUCGGAAACCGGGCGACUUGAGUGCAGAAGAGGACAGUGGAACUCCAUGUGUAGCGGUGGAAUGCGUAGAUAUAUGGAAGAACACCAGUGGCGAAGGCGGCU